CCUUACUCACCGAAACCUCGGUAAAUUCCGAGAACGAUAACCAUGGAAACCUUCGGCGAUAAUUCGACUAUUAGCCCGCGCUCCCUACAAAGGACCCGGAAGUCAAGUUCGGAAAUCCGACUGGACUCCCCGAAUAGCGGCACGAACAGACCUAGCCCGAUCCUACUCGAAGGGCUAAGGCCCGACCUCAAUGCCUUGGGAUUUUCCUAAAGGCCGAACGUAACGACUUUCGCAAUUGUAAGAUCCGAGUUAUAGGACUUAGAAAAAUUUUCUGGAAACCUAAACUCGGAGCUCCCUUUGCUCGGAAUGAUUAAGAUCCGAGAAGGCCAAGGUAUAACUCAGGAAAAAGGGCAACUUCGUUAAGUAGCCCGAAAACUAAAAUGCAAAGUUAGAGGUCGUCGAGGCGGUUAGCUAAGGCUCUAGCCUCAUUCACGACGAGAAAGGGAAAGACGAGCACGGAAUGACAAAAGUAUUUUUUCAUUGACAAAGGGCCGGAAGGCCAAUUACAAAAUUGGAGGUCGGCCAUUCAAGAGCCGACCCCGGAUACAAUGAAAAAGAAGAAAUACGCCAAGUCUUAAGCGGCGGCAGCAACAUCCGCAGGGUCGUCCACGGUGAUGGCCUCGGGACCUUCAGCCGGCACAGGCUCGGGGUCUUCUCCAACUGGCUUAGCGCUUCCCAGAUCAUGCCAUCCCCN
rnacentral:lncRNA from 1 species